GAUUUGGAAUUGAGGACAAUGUAGUCUGAUAGCCAAGGGGUAUAAACUUAUCUUCUUGGGCUGUGUUCCAAAAUUUAUUUUAACUGAUGUGCGCACAGUUCUGUGAAUACAUUACAAGCCAUCUAAUUGUACAUUUAUUUAUGUUACACUUUAAAUUGGUGAAUCAUAUGGUAAAAAGUUUAAAAUAUAAUAAACCAGUAAAAACAUUUACUGGAAACUACUAUUAUAAUAACAUAGAAAUCUAUAAGCUAAUUUUCUAAAUUAACAAAUGGUUUAAAUGAAUGGAAUUAAAAUCCCAGUGGAAAUAUGAGUGAGUAAAUAGCUCAUGGUGAAAAGAUCAGGUAUCUUUGUUAGUUAUUAAGGCUGUCCAUCCAUAUUUCCAGCUAUUCAAAUUUCAGACACUUAGACUUCUACUUCUUCACACCAUUUAUCUAUUUAUUUAUUCAUUCAUUCAUUCAUUUUAUAUUCUUAUUCAGACAGAGGGGUUUCGUUUCAGUUCAACAUGCCAGUUUGUAAAUGUGAUGCAUCUUGACCAAUGCCAUUUCUUUCAUCAUUCUUCCCCAUAUCUCCCAACUGUACUUAUUCCCUCAACUUACCUAGUUUCCUUUUCACAUUAUAUUAUGAUUGCAUUUUCCCAUCUAUCGCCUCUCCAGUUGACCACUCCCUCCCCUUACUUCACCCAUCCUGAUAGCUCAAGUUCCAGCUUCCUGAUAAUUCAUUUUGCUAAACUGUAUGUUGUUCAAAGGGGCUACUCCUCACACCUUUUAUAUACAUCUAUGUCCAUAUAACUUGCUUCAGUCAAUGGAAUGGAGUAGAGAUAUUUUUGCCAGUUCUAGGAGUGAAAUUUUAAAUGUAAAUAUGAGCUUUGUCAGGACCUGUCACAAGCAAUAUUCUAGAAAGGGACUUCCACCAUUUUAAUAUUUGUGAACAUAGACCCCCAAAGGAUUAUGUGUUGAUAUGAAGUAUGGAUAAAAUAUAUUGUGUAAUUUUAAGUUACAUGAUUUUGAAAUCAUGACUGCAAUGUAAUGUAUCAUAUCUUGACUGACAAUCUCACUCAAAGUUGUAAAAAAUAAAAUUAUAAUAUUGUAAUUUUAUAUUUCAUAUUGACAAAAAUCUAAGUUGUGCAAUUUCCAGUGUUGACAAGAUGUUUUUGAAAGAGACACUUUUGGUUUUUGAGCUGUUGUAUUCUUUUUAAAUUGAAUAGCAUUGUUUAUAUUUAUAGUGUACAACAUGAUGUUGAUUAUAUGUACACACAUACAUACACACUGUGGAAUGUGCAAAUCCAUCUAACAUAUUUCUAUCUCAAUUAGCAAAUCCUCUGUACACAAAUUUAUUUUAUAGCUAUUUUCGCCAUUAUAAAUAUUUCUGUGAACAUUGCUGUAAGAAAUUUCUGGAACUAAAUGGUACUUUUCACUUGUGUAGUUUUGUGUCAGACUACUUGGAGCUUCUGUCCUGUUUCGUUGUGUUGAAUUCUAGAAUAGUGAGAACAGAUCUAGAAAAAUAUGUUGAUUGUGUAGAUACUGAUUUUUGCAGCUAUUUGGGUCAGUUCUCUUGUUUCCAUUUCCAUUUACACAUUCUGUGUAUUUUUUCUGUGGUGUUUUCUUCUGUAAGCCAGCCCACAGAUGGAAUAAUAGCAGGAUUAAUAUUCCUGUAGCUAAGUUGAUUUGUACAUCUUUAGCUAUUUAUGCAGGGAAAAUGUUCAGGAUUCCUGGUUCAAACAAUCUCCCUUAUAUAACUUUUAGUCUUAAAAAAUUACAACUACUACUUAUCACUAUAUUUAUGGAGGCACAGUAACACCUAGUGAUCAAUUCCAGUACUUCAACAUGGAAAAAAAUUGUUAAAGAAAACAUGAGAAUUGGGGAAAUAGCUGUCAAGGCAUCUCCAAACAACACUGAUAAAAAUUCAGGAAUUUUAGUUGCAUCUGCAAUAUGUAAAGAACAAGGAAGCCAUCACUCUCAAACCUACACUAAGAACAAACUGAACAAAUGAAAACAAAUGACUUUUCCUUGAGUUCCUUAGGUAACAAAGGUUAUAGGAUAAAUCACUACUAAAAAAAUCUGGAAAAAUGCUUAAAUUUAGAGUUAAAAGUUGUGAUCUGCUUCUCUGGAACACAGUCACUAUAACCAUGCAUUGAUAGGGACACCUAAAUGAUAAUUUUGAUCAAUUGUUUGAAUCUGAAUGUGAACAACAGGACACUGAGAACUUCUGAGAAUCAGUCUUAAAAGGUUUUUUGAUCUAUAGGAAACUCACUCUGGUCUCAUGAUGAAGAGCUAUAAAGUAUCUGUGUGGAUCUGGCA